rnacentral:tRNA from 1 species
UCCCUGGUGGCUCAGAGUGGUAAAGCAUCUGUUUGCCAUGCAGGAGACCCAGGUUAGAUCCCUGGGUUGGGAA